UGGUGUAGCGGUGAAAUGCUUAGAGAUCAUACAGAACACCGAUUGCGAAGGCAGCUUACCAAACUAUAUCUGACGUUGAGGCACGAAAGCGUGGGGAGCAAACAGGAUUAGAUACCCUGGUAGUCCACGCAGUAAACGAUGAUAACUCGUUGUCGGCGAUACACAGUCGGUGACUAAGCGAAAGCGAUAAGUUAUCCACCUGGGGAGUACGUUCGCAAGAAUGAAACUCAAAGGAAUUGACGGGGGCCCGCACAAGCGGAGGAACAUGUGGUUUAAUUCGAUGAUACGCGAGGAACCUUACCCGGGCUUGAAAGUUAGCGACGAUUCUUGAAAGAGGAUUUCCCUUCGGGGCGCGAAACUAGGUGCUGCAUGGUUGUCGUCAGCUCGUGCCGUGAGGUGUCGGGUUAAGUCCCAUAACGAGCGCAACCCCUACCGUUAGUUGCCAUCAGGUGAAGCUGGGCACUCUGGCGGGACUGCCGGUGUAAGCCGAGAGGAAGGUGGGGAUGACGUCAAAUCAGCACGGCCCUUACGUCCGGGGCUACACACGUGUUACAAUGGUAGGUACAGAGGGCAGCUACCCAGCGAUGGGAUGCGAAUCUCGAAAGCCUAUCUCAGUUCGGAUUGGAGGCUGAAACCCGCCUCCAUGAAGUUGGAUUCGCUAGUAAUCGCGCAUCAGCCAUGGCGCGGUGAAUACGUUCCCGGGCCUUGUACACACCGCCCGUCAAGCCAUGGGAGCCGGGGGUGCCUGAAGUUCGUGACCGCAAGGAGCGACCUAGGGCAAAACUGGUGACUGGGGCUAAGUCGUAACAAGGUAGCCGUACCGGAAGGUGCGGCUG
rnacentral:rRNA from 1 species